rnacentral:rRNA from 1 species
GAGCUUGCUCCUUUGACGUUAGCGGCGGACGGGUGAGUAACACGUGGGUAACCUACCUAUAAGACUGGAAUAACUUCGGGAAACCGAAGCUAAUGCCGGAUAACAUGUAGAACCGCAUGGUUCUACAGUGAAAGAUGGCUUUGCUAUCACUUAUAGAUGGACCCGCGCCGUAUUAGCUAGUUGGUAAGGUAACGGCUUACCAAGGCAACGAUACGUAGCCGACCUGAGAGGGUGAUCGGCCACACUGGAACUGAGACACGGUCCAGACUCCUACGGGAGGCAGCAGUAGGGAAUCUUCCGCAAUGGGCGAAAGCCUGACGGAGCAACGCCGCGUGAGUGAUGAAGGUCUUCGGAUCGUAAAGCUCUGUUAUUAGGGAAGAACAAGUGCGUAAGUAACUGUGCGCACCUUGACGGUACCUAAUCAGAAAGCCACGGCUAACUACGUGCCAGCAGCCGCGGUAAUACGUAGGUGGCAAGCGUUAUCCGGAAUUAUUGGGCGUAAAGCGCGCGUAGGCGGUUUCUUAAGUCUGAUGUGAAAGCCCACGGCUCAACCGUGGAGGGUCAUUGGAAACUGGGAGACUUGAGUGCAGAAGAGGAAAGUGGAAUUCCAUGUGUAGCGGUGAAAUGCGCAGAGAUAUGGAGGAACACCAGUGGCGAAGGCGACUUUCUGGUCUGUAACUGACGCUGAUGUGCGAAAGCGUGGGGAUCAAACAGGAUUAGAUACCCUGGUAGUCCACGCCGUAAACGAUGAGUGCUAAGUGUUAGGGGGUUUCCGCCCCUUAGUGCUGCAGCUAACGCAUUAAGCACUCCGCCUGGGGAGUACGACCGCAAGGUUGAAACUCAAAGGAAUUGACGGGG